CGGAGACUGAGACACGAGUAAUUGAUUCCCCGGGGGCAACAUUUCUGAUGUUCAGAUUGCCGUGUCUUUCACUGUUCACCCACCGGGCUUUUUAUAAACCGUCUGGAGACUCCAGAAACACAGCAGCUGCAAGCCCCGUGUGUUAAAGUUUAGCGACCUGCUAACGCUCGCUCGCUCCCCCUAGCUGUGUCAGUGACCAUGGUGUAGGUGCUGGUGCCUCUCCCCUGGGAGGUUACAGGGACCACACCGGCAGGGGCACUGGCUCAGCCAGCCUGCAGACACUUACAGAUUGCCAUAGCUGCACCCCCUGCUCUGAAGCAGAGGGGAAGGGCCAGGCAGCUCCUCAGAGGGUAAAUACUUUACCGUCCUAGCAGGGCUUUUGUGUGGCUAGCAGCACCCUGGCCUGGAGAUGGAUUAAUAACAAACGUUCCUCAGAGUCCCAGAAUAGAGUCCAUCAGCACAACACAAAGCUUCUGCUCUGACCUCUUCAGCCAGGUUUGGAGCGCUUCUUUUGUCCCAAACUGCUCUGCACCAAGCAGCCACCCCUGGCCAAAACUCAGCUUUCUUCAACUCUCCCUCUCUUUGGCCUAGAGAGGUCAGCAGGCAAAGCCCCUCUGCUGCUCUCCUGGCCACCGCGGGUAGGACCUCCUGCCCUCUGCAGCUUCUGCCCUUACUUCCCCAGCAGCUCCCUCACCUCCCUUGGGUGAGAGAGAUCAGUGGGUAACCAGCCUUCCCCUGCUGCCGCCGCUGUCUUUGUAAGACCCAGGUUCCUUCCCUUAAGCCCAGUUGGGCAGGAAGGAAUCGGUAACAGGUGCACUGGACUUCUCUUCCCUCCCCUCCCCCCUCACUUCUUAAAGGGGCCAGUCAGCCUGUGACAGCCAUCAACUGUGGUGACAAUGCAAAUAAUUACCUUGUGCCCUAAGGCUGUUUAAACCCCUGGGACAGAGACCCCUUCCAGCCUCACCUCCUGUGAACUUCACCCCUGGAGGGCUGGAGGGCCGUCUUUGAAACAACACUUGUACAAAGUGCUGCAUGUCCAUCUGUGCUGAUCCUCUCCACUUCAGCCAGAAAUGGUAAACGGGGAGGCUGGGCUGCCUCUUUGUUCAAGAGACCUUCAAAGAGAGCCCAGCCCUCUGCUGGAAGAAGUGCUGGCUACCCGUGGGUAGGACUCAGGUGGCAUCUUGGUGACAGGUAGGGUAACCAUACGUCCCGUUCUGGCCAGGACAGUCCCUUUUUUAAGCCCUGUCCCGAUGGUCCUGACUUUUUUGGCAAAAGUGGGCAUUUGUCCCGUUUGCUCUUGUCAGCUUGAUCAGUUGGCAAGAGCAAACAGAACAAAUGCUCACCUUCUAAAAAAAAAAAUGGGGUGUGGAGGAACGUGCUGGGGCAAGCAGUGAUGCCAGCCCCUUGCAGGGCGGGGAGGCAGGGCUCAGGUGAGGGCAUGCAGGUCGUGGGCAGGGGGAAGGCAGGGCGUGGGCGAGUAGUGAUGCCAGCCCCAGCCUUGCGCAAACAGUGAUGCCAGUCCCGCAUGGGGGCUCAGGUGAAUGGCUCAGGAAAGGCUUGCGCUAGCCCCACGUUGUGUCCCAUUUUCCCUUUGGGAAAUACAGUCACCCUAGACAGGGGGUGCUGUGACCGGCUUUUUGAUGAGACCCAAAAGCAAGGUCCUGAUCACUUGUGGUCAUCAAAGAUCCCGUGCCACUGGGAUGUGAGUGGUGUUACACUGGCCAAACUCUAGUGUAGAUAAUCUCAUUCUGCCUCUUCCAGCCCCCCUGUCAUUGCACUUGGCUGUUGGUUUUCUCUUCACAUCCUGUCCUUACUGCUUGUGUCAUCUGUCCAGCAUCUAGCACAAUGGGGUCCAGUUCCUGGACUGGGGUCCCUAGUUACUACCAUAAUAUAGGGACUACCUCUAAUAAUGGGGCUCUGUCCAGGAACCUAAGGACAGGCCUGACUAAGAGGGACCAUGUACAGACAGGCCAUCAGCCAUGUUCUGUAACUGGGUUAAAGCCCUGCUCACGCAGAAUGUGAGCAUCAGGCAUCACGGGAGGUUGUGGCAGUCAUUGGAGGAUCUGGAAAGGAGGGUGCUUAGGCGGUGUGGGUUAGUGGUGAUUAUGGUGCCUUUGUAUCUUCAGCAUGUGGCAGUAUUGUGUGUGGAGCGUUGCUCAGUGGUUGGAACCAGUGACUAGGAGUUGAGACUCCUGUAUUCAACUCAUGGCUCUGAUGCUAGUUUGCUUUUAGGCUAAUGUGUUCAGAAGUGGCCUCUGAUUCUGGGUGCUUAAUAUGAGCCUGGUGUUCCGACGGUUCAGGCACCCUGAGCUCCAGUUGAAGUCACGGGUACUGUGAGUGCUCAGCUCCUCUGACAGUUGGCCCCACCUGAUUUCAAGUCAGGCAUCAAAAACUCUCCCCCGCCAAUCAGAGGCUGUUUUUCAAAAUGUGGCCUCUAAUAUCCCUGUGCCUCGGAUCCCGUCAGUAAAAUAGGGAUCGUGAUAGUGACUGGCCUGCUGGGGAGUCGGGGGAUGAGGGAGUCCCUGUGAAGUGCUUGGAAGUGUGACGUGCUAGAGCCGCCCUGGAGGUCAUUCAGUCAGUCACCAAAAUCGCUCCUCUGGUUCUCGCUGCUUGUGGUUCAGUUCAGAAAGGGGUGGGGGGGGGCUUGAAAACAAUAAGAAGAUUCCAAAAGCGCCUAAGGGAGCGAGGGCCCAGUUCUGCCAAGGCAUUUAGGCACCUGAGCCCAACUGAAAUCAGUGGAAGUUAGGCGCCUAGGUGGUCCCUGAGAGCCAAUGGGUGUUGGCUGCCAGUUCCCUGGGUGUUUUUGGAACCCCCACGUUAAGGCAAUAGACGUCUGUUUCUUCUCGUAUCCCCCUUCCUUUCUGUCCCCACUCCUAGCCCUGUCUCACUCCCCCUCUGUCUCUUC